rnacentral:ncRNA from 1 species
CCUCUGGAGCGUUAUAUCAAACGAAAGUAGCUUCGGCAAAAUCGGACGCGGUGAAUGAGGAA